rnacentral:rRNA from 1 species
GCGAACGCUGGCGGCAGGCCUAAUACAUGCAAGUCGAGCGGUCCCUUCGGGGGCAGCGGCGGACGGGUGAGUAACGCGUGGGAACGUGCCCUUUGGUACGGAACAACUGAGGGAAACUCCAGCUAAUACCGUAUGUGCCCUUUGGGGGAAAGAUUUAUCGCCAUUGGAGCGGCCCGCGUUAGAUUAGCUAGUUGGUAGGGUAAAGGCCUACCAAGGCGACGAUCUAUAGCUGGUCUGAGAGGAUGUUCAGCCACACUGGGACUGAGACACGGCCCAGACUCCUACGGGAGGCAGCAGUAGGGAAUCUUGCGCAAUGGGCGAAAGCCUGACGCAGCCAUGCCGCGUGAAUGAUGAAGGUCUUAGGAUUGUAAAAUUCUUUCACCGGGGACGAUAAUGACGGUACCCGGAGAAGAAGCCCCGGCUAACUUCGUGCCAGCAGCCGCAGUAA